rnacentral:lncRNA from 1 species
CACCUUUUAGAAAAUUCCCAUUUAAGUUCAUGAUAAAAUUAAAUUGAUUUAAUGCAUGACAGCUCAAUUUCCCAAUGAUCAUAACUGAAGUUCAGACUUCACGUUUUCAUAUCACAUUUUAAACUAUCAUUUAUGAGAAAUAUUUCUUUUCUGGAUUCAGUUAAAUAACCCUGAACACCAGUGUACCAUUAUUACAUUCAUCAAUUUGUUUGCCUGCUUGGUGACUUAAAUUUAAGCAGAGGUGACAGAGUGUAUGUGAGAAGCAGAAAAGGUCUGUGCCAGAGGGUGGUUGGCAUGGAACAGGCUGCCCAGGACAGAGGGCAUAGUCCCAAGCUGCUGGAGUUCUAGGAGUGUUGACACUGCUCUCAGUCAUGGGGUCUGAUUAUUGGGUCAUCUGUGUGGAGCCAGGAGUUGGACUUGACCCUUGUGGGUCCCUUCCUAUUUGGAAUAUGCUAUCAUUUUGUGAUUCCAUUAAAGAUCCUAGAAUCCACAUCUUGGGGAUACAGUGAUAUAACAAUAUUGAGAUACACUGUUUUUAUGCUAGUUUGUGGCAUGUAGAAUUAUGUUUUCUCUAAGUAUUUAUUUCAUGUGGAAAAGACUCCAAAUUUCAUAAAAACAGAGCAUGCCUCUAAGACAGGUCAGAUACAGAGAACAAUAAAUAAACUUUUCUGCCAAAAUCAAGAAGACCCAAGGAAAUGGCUCUAUAGCCUAAGCCCUAGCAAAGGAAAUGGACACACCAUUUGUCUUAUCUAGUCUGAUAGAGCCUGCAAGCACUGCUAAACAAUUAAGGACUUGAAAUUAGACUACAGCAUUUGUUACAAAAAUAUAUCUAUAGUCUUUGAUGACUCCACUGAGCAAAAGUUGCGUCAAGCGAGGAAGAGAAUGCUGCCUUCACCUCUUGUGCCCAAAGAUUUGCCAGCUCUGCUUCUCCCAAGUUGGUAGGAAUGAACACACUUAUAGCAGCUUUAUAAAACUUGCGUGUGAAAUGGCUGAAGCAGCAAGACUGCCCUGGUAAAUUCUCAUUGCAGCAUGAAGAAUUUGGAAAGAUAUAAUGGUAAAGCCAAAAUGCUUUUGUCAUCUAAGUCAUCCUGUUUGCUGAAUGUCUUUGAAUUAUCAAAAUGCCAUAGAUCACUUACUGUCACCUUUCUUCUAUCGUUCAGUCUCAGAUCAUCUCAAAAAAUGUAACACUUGGAAAGAUGCAAUUUCAUUUGUAAAACCCUACGUAUUAAUUUGUUGAUUAAUCCAUACCAUUAAGAUUCCCUUCCUUGAUGAAUUCUCUCACUAGGCAUGCCCUUUAUAGGUGUAUUUUUUGUUUAAUAAACUGUGUAUAUGAGAGCUCUGUUAUACUUGC